rnacentral:rRNA from 1 species
GAUGAACGCUGGCGGCGUGCCUAAUACAUGCAAGUCGAGCGAACAGACGAGGAGCUUGCUCCUCUGACGUUAGCGGCGGACGGGUGAGUAACACGUGGAUAACCUCCCUAUAAGACUGGGAUAACUUCGGGAAACCGGAGCUAAUACCGGAUAAUAUAUUGAACCGCAUGGUUCAAUAGUGAAAGACGGUUUUGCUGUCACUUAUAGAUGGAUCCGCGCCGCAUUAGCUAGUUGGUAAGGUAACGGCUUACCAAGGCGACGAUGCGUAGCCGACCUGAGAGGAUGAUCGGCCACACUGGAACUGAGACACGGUCCAGACUCCUACGGGAGGCAGCAGUAGGGAAUCUUCCGCAAUGGGCGAAAGCCUGACGGAGCCACGCCGCGUGAGUGAUGAAGGUCUUCGGAUCGUAAAACUCUGUUAUUAGGGAAGAACAAAUGUGUAAGUAACUAUGCACGUCUUGACGGUACCUAAUCAGAAAGCCACGGCUAACUACGUG